rnacentral:rRNA from 1 species
AUACGUAGGUGGCGAGCGUUAUCCGGAAUUAUUGGGCGUAAAGGGUGCGCAGUCGGCUAAUUAAGUUUGUGGUGAAAGUGCGGGGCUUAACUCCGUAUUGCCAUGAAAACUGGUUGGCUAGAGUGCAGAAGAGGGUAGUGGAAUUCCAUGUGUAGCGGUAAAAUGCGUAGAUAUAUGGAGGAACACCAGUGGCGAAGGCGGCUACCUGGUCUGUAACUGACGAUGAGGCACGAAAGCGUGGGGAGCAAAUAGGAUUAGAUACCCUAGUAGUCCACGCUGUAAACGAUGAAUACUAAGUGUUGGGGGAACUCAGUGCUGCAGUUAACGCAUUAAGCACUCCGCCUGGGGAGUACGACCGCAAGGUUGAA